rnacentral:rRNA from 1 species
UACGAGCGCUUCAAGCGUUAUCCGGAUUCACUGGGUUUAAAGGGUGCGUAGGCGGGUUGGUAAGUCCGUGGUGAAAUCUCCGAGCUUAACUCGGAAACUGCCAUUGAUACUAUCUGUCUUGAAUAUCGUGGAGGUAAGCGGAAUAUGUCAUGUAGCGGUGAAAUGCUUAGAUAUGAACAUAGAACACCAAUUGCGAAGGCAGCUUACUACCCGAAUAUUGACACUGAGGCACGAAAGCGUGGGGAUCAAACAGG